CGGGGUGAGUAACGCGUGGGUAACCUGCCAUAUACAGGGGGAUAACACUUAGAAAUAGGUGCUAAUACCGCAUAAGCGCACAGUAUUGCAUGAGACAGUGUGAAAAACUACGGUGGUAUAUGAUGGACCCGCGUCUGAUUAGCUGGUUGGUGAGGUAACGGCCCACCAAGGCGACGAUCAGUAGCCGGCCUGAGAGGGUGGACGGCCACAUUGGGACUGAGACACGGCCCAAACUCCUACGGGAGGCAGCAG
rnacentral:rRNA from 1 species